rnacentral:misc_RNA from 1 species
UUCAUACUAGGUGUAUCAUGAUUUCUCAAUGAUAUACAUAAAUUUGUGAAUAACGGUCAAUCCAUAUACCAUAUUGUUGUUAUCAAAUAUUGUGACUGAAGUGAAAUUAAAGUGAAAUUCUACGAAUUUAUUAGUGCUAAUAAGUCACUGGAGAACCGCGCUGGGUACGUUAUAAGGGAACGUCCGAAUUCCUGAUCGUUUUAGUUGACACUGUUAAAAAGAUUGAUUACUUACCCUUCGUAUGAACUGAAAUAUGGGCGAUCGUGUUUCAUUAUUGAAUGAGAGUGGCAUAUAAGGUUAUAAGGCAUAUAUUAGAUUUUAGUGGUAUUAUGAUACCGCUUGGAGAUACUGUCAAAGGAUUCAAACGCGGCCCAGCUAAAGACGCCAUGUUUGCUCUGCGCGACGAAGGAGAGGAAAUGGCCUUCUCGUAAUCUACGCUUCUUGUCGGCGAGAUAAAACUACACCAUGGCGAGUGGUUUGUUGUCGCUGAAGUGGAAUAACCACAGGACAACUUUCUUCCACGUCCUCUCCACUAUCAGGAGCAAGGAGUCUUACUGUGAUGCCACCAUUGCCUGUGAUGGGAAGUUUUACCCAGUCCAUAAACUGGUGUUGUCAACAUGUAGUGAUUAUUUUGAACAGAUGUUUGAAAGGACAAACUGUAAACAUCCUAUUAUAGUGUUGAAAGAUAUUAGACAUGAGGACCUUGAGGCCCUCCUGAACUAUAUGUAUGUAGGUGAAGUGAAUGUGUUACAAAAUGAACUGGCAGGACUAAUAAAAGCUGCAGAAUGCCUAAUGAUAAAAGGAUUAGCAGUGCCUGAUGAAGCCCCAACUAAAGAAUCAAAAAGAAGUUCGGGGAGUGGGAAAGAAGAUAGUCCUAUAGCGAAAAGAAGAAAGAAAGACGAUGAACCUAGGUUAUCAACCACCUCAGUUAACCAGCAUGUACAAAGAGAAACAAGAGAGUCGCCCAAUGUGACCUCUACUCAAUCCCAAAGACAUUCAGCGAGUGCCUCCAUUCCAACUCCUUCCCCUACAGUGUCCAGAACUGCUCCCCCUCCUAUCUCUCCAUCACCCUCAAUUGGUAGUGUCUCUGAUGCUGUGUCUGAAGACUGUAGCCAAGGCCAGAAUGAAAGUGAUUUACCGGCCCUAUCCAAUGCACAGGAUCCAAAGCAUGGUAGUGGUGAGCAAGCAUCUAGUCAAUCGCAACAGGCUGUACCUGAGGUAAUAUUAGACGAACCUGGUGUCAAAGAAGAACCCCAAGAAGUUGAAGAGGAAGUAACGGAAACAAAAGAGAUAAUAGAGUCCCAGUUUUCAUUUGAUCCCCUAACGGAAAGUGAUUCUCGGACGGAAGCAGGUGGUGGAGGUGGUAAUAGCAGUGGGAGCACAGGUGCACCUGGUUAUGAUCCACAGAUAAUGGGUUCUCAGCCUCAGUCAAUGGAAGAACUAGUUGCUCAAGCCAUUCCAGGUUCCUCUGGAUUACAGGGGAAUUCCGUUUCCCUCUGGGAGGGAGACGGAAGUCUACAAGGCUUUCCUAUGGAAGGCUAUAGUGGAGAUGGUUCUCGGCCACCUCAGAUGGUCCAGCGGUGGAGGACCAGGGCUGGCGGAACAUGCCAUAGAUGCGGCCACUGUGGAUACCAAGCUAGGGACAAGCUGGACUUGCAGCGACAUACUCGCAUCCAUACAGGAGAGAAGCCAUUUGCAUGUCCAUACUGCCCCCAUCGUUCAGCACUGAAGGGAAAUCUUAAACAUCACAUCUUAAGGAGACAUACAAAUAUAUGAUCUAACAAGAGAAAAUACAUAUACUUGGUAUAACAAAAGAAAACUUCAUUAAAUUUUGAAAAAUAAACUCUUAGCAAUAUAAGAAGUUUAGAGGCAGACACCAUCCUCCUCAGUACCCAGGCCUGGACAGAGAGGCAGAACCAGAAUGCCACAGAAGUGUCCAUUAUGUGGCUAUGCAGCUUUGGAUGCUACUACCAUGCGGCGUCACAUACGCACACACACUGGGGAGAAACCAUUUGCUUGUGAACUUUGUU